CCCCGCAAUAAGACAGAUCCUAAGUUUCACUCCCAAACCCCUGUGAACAUACCAAUUGUUGCCUCGGCGGAUCAGCCCGCUCCCGGUAAAACGGGACGGCCCGCCAGAGGACCCCUAAACUCUGUUUCUAUAUGUAACUUCUGAGUAAAACCAUAAAUAAAUCAAAACUUUCAACAACGGAUCUCUUGGUUCUGGCAUCGAUGAAGAACGCAGCAAAAUGCGAUAAGUAAUGUGAAUUGCAGAAUUCAGUGAAUCAUCGAAUCUUUGAACGCACAUUGCGCCCGCCAGUAUUCUGGCGGGCAUGCCUGUUCGAGCGUCAUUUCAACCCUCAAGCCCCCGGGUUUGGUGUUGGGGAUCGGCGAGCCCUUGCGGCAAGCCGGCCCCGAAAUCUAGUGGCGGUCUCGCUGCAGCUUCCAUUGCGUAGUAGUAAAACCCUCGCAACUGGUACGCGGCGCGGCCAAGCCGUUAAACCCCCAACUUCUGAAUGUUGACCUCGGAUCAGGUAGGAAUACCCGCUGAACUUAAGCAUAUCAAA
rnacentral:rRNA from 1 species